CCAUUUCAGCUUUCCCAUUUUGGAAAGCCGGCUUUUCUCUCUCCUCCGCGUCCGAGCCGAAGACGGAAACAGAGCAAAGGAGGUCCGGCCAUUUUCUUCCUCUUCCGGCCACCUCUGGACGAGAAACCACUCCCAUCAGCUUCGCCUCACUCCUCCGAAGCCGUCUGUGGCAACCUUGAACGGCGGCGCGGCCCCUAGAGGCGGCGGCGGCCCGGUUACGAUUUAAGCUCGAUUUUGGUCAACGCCGGUUUUCUCCUAGAUCCGGCCACCAAAACUUCCGAUCCUUGGCUCCAUGAACUCCCCUCAACCUGAUGAUAAUCAUACUAGGAAGAUUACACCUAGAGUGACCGGUUUCACGUUCGUCGGAGCUCGGUCGGUUUUCGAUCCGAAACGAAAAUCUUUCGAUCGGUAUAUCUCGAGCUGUAGUGCAUCGUUUUGAUUGAUUAUUUUUCCAGUGGGUUUCCCUUGAUGUUCUUAACAACUCUCUAGAAGGAAUCGAGGCCUGAAAUUGAAGUUUUUACGUCGAAAAUGGAGCUCGCCGGUUUCUGGAAAUUCGUUUCUGGAAAAUUUCCGGCCACCAUCAUACUGUUCAAGGUGUUUGACGGUUUGAUUUGGCGGACGAAUUGUGAUUCUUAUUCGAGUUAUAAGAAGACGCAGCGGGAUUAGAGCGGGAAGUCUUGCAGGUUAGGAGUAUCAGGGCGGUGAUCGUGCGGGUUAGAGUAGUUGUUGUAGUUUUACAAUGAUUGUAAUAUUGAGGUGAGUUAAGUUCAAUUUGAGCUUUACAAUUUACUUUGUAUAGUGAGUUGUAAUAAUUAAUUUGAGGUUUGUAAUUUGAGUGAUUGUGUUCUAGUUGAUUAUUCAUGUUCCGGAUUUGAAAAAAAAAGUUAUUCAAAAUUCGGGGCGUGACACCUAUUGAU